UCCAUCGCGAGGUGGAAUCUGAAGGAAGCCGGCGGCAAACUCCCGACCUUACGAACAGAAACUGCUUAGAAGGCAGACACAGCGAGGCGAUGCUGCAAAAGAAGCAAAAGCCCUAAACUACCCGGAAGCUGUGGAAGUAAAAGCAGAAGGUACAUGGGAGGAAAGCGAAUGAG
rfam:Sphingobacteriales bacterium 50-39 SCNpilot_cont_1000_p_scaffold_43, whole genome shotgun sequence.